GGUGGUACAGAGAAUCUGGCACCUCCUGAUGAACUGGCAACAGAGAGCUUAUAGACUGGUUGCAACUACAAGGAGUGGAUGCAAACACAAUAGGAAAGAUUGUUGAAGAGGAUUAUACACUUUCUGAUAUUCUCGAUGAUAUUACUAAGGAAGACCUAAGAUGCCUCAGACUACGGUAAAAGCUUCCAAAUGGUUUGAAUAAUACAAGGUCUUAGUGAACAUUUUAAAAUGAAAUAGAUUAACAAAAUGUUGGUAGCUUCCUCCAAUCAUAAUGAAAUUAGCUUUCCACUCUUGUUUAAAUGCCCAUACCUCUACACAGUCCCACCAACACUCCUCUGGCACCAGGUCCAGACAAAGACACCCACUUAAUAAGUUAGAAAUUAUAUUUGAAAGAGUGGCUGGCAAAUGUAAUCCUGUAGAUCAAAUGCUUGUUUCUCCUACUUGUGAGGUGGCUGUUUUCAAAUUUGCUUUUCUUAUGGAAACUCCUGUUUUGCAGCAGUGGUGUCCUCUGUAGACUCUGGCAUGCAGUCUCCCAGCACAGAAGACAAACGCAGGAGUCCUCACACUGAGCCAAGCUGGAGAGAAUACGCAAAUACCCUACCUGCUUAUUGCCAAAGCUUCUGUUCAUGUACACACAAAUCCUGCAUUUACACAGGAUCCCUGUUCACUAAUUCAAGCAUGCAUAAUUUAGGUCAUCCUUGUGUAUAAACAGGAUUGUAUGUAACAUCAACCAUGAUCUAGUGUACUAAAUUCUUAGGAUUGUAUUUCAUUUAAAAAGUCAACAUUCCUUAUAGCAACUGCUGGAAAGAUAAAAGCAUAAUACUUAAAUGUAAAAAAGUGUGCCUUGCAAUGGGAAUACAAGUUCACGUUUGUUAAAUGUCUAAAUGGAGAAAAUUAAAUUAUUUUACCUUUGAAGUA